AUUGAACGCUGGCGGCAUGCUUUACACAUGCAAGUCGGACGAGUGGCGAACGUGUGAGUAAUAUAUCGGAACGUACCUAGUAAUGGGGGAUAACUAUUCGGAAGAUUAGCUAAUACCGCAUAUUAUUCGAGCGGUCGAUAUGUGAUUAGCUAGUUGGUGGGGUAAAGGCCUACCAAGGCGACGAUGAGUAGCGGGUCUGAGAGGAUGAUCCGCCACACUGGGACUGAGACACGGCCCAGACUCCUACGGGAGGCAGCAGUGGGGAAUUUUGGACAAUGGGCGCAAGCCUGAUCCAGCCAUGCCGCGUGUGUGAAGAAGGCCUUCGGGUUGUAAAGGACUUUUGUCAGGGAAGCGGUACCUGAAGAGUAAGCACCGGCUAACUACGUGCCAGCAGCCGCGGUAAUUC
rnacentral:rRNA from 1 species